CACGUAGGGGGCGAGCGUUGUCCGGAUUUAUUGGGCGUAAAGAGCUCGUAGGCGGCUCGGUAAGUCGGGUGUGAAACCUCCAGGCUCAACCUGGAGACGCCACCUGAUACUGCUGUGGCUAGAGUCCGGUAGGAGAGUGUGGAACUCCUGGUGUAGCGGUGAAAUGCGCAGAUAUCAGGAAGAACACCAGCGGCGAAGGCGGCACUCUGGGCCGGAACUGACGCUGAGGAGCGAAAGCGUGGGUAGCAAACAGG
rnacentral:rRNA from 1 species